rnacentral:lncRNA from 1 species
AUAACUUGAGUUUCCAUCUUGGCACCCUUAUUACAUGGGACAACUUACAUAACAUGCGAGAAAUUGACUCCCUCAAGUUUAACAUAUCAUCUUAAUUGCCACAAACCUCAUUCUUUUAUUUAUUUAUUAGACACUUAACUAGGCCUAAUAACUUAGUUAUUGUACUUCAUCUAAUUACACAAGGUAACCUACUAACGAAUUUAAUAAUUCGAGUUUUGGGGUGUUACAUUUGUUAUCUAAAUUUCAGCUAAAAAAUACAUUAUUUCUCUAAAAAAUGCUUGUAAAAUGUCAAGAUGCCACAAACGCCAAACUCCAAAACUAUAAUAAAAUUACUUUAGACAAGUAUUAUUAAAAACUCCAAAAAAAUACUGAAAUGUAUAAAACAAUGUGCAAGAGAAUAGAACAAUGUGCCAUCUUUAUCUAAACGCCAUUAAAAAUACAAAACGCCAAAAUCUAAAAGAUGGGACGUGUU